GCAUAUCAAUAAGCGGAGGAAAAGAAACCAACAGGGAUUGCCUUAGUAGCGGCGAGUGAAGCGGCAAAAGCUCAAAUUUGAAAUCUGGCACUUUCAGUGUCCGAGUUGUAAUUUGAAGAAGGUAUCUUUGGGUCUGGCUCUUGUCUAUGUUUCUUGGAACAGAACGUCACAGAGGGUGAGAAUCCCGUGCGAUGAGAUGUCCCAGACCUAUGUAAAGUUCCUUCGAAGAGUCGAGUUGUUUGGGAAUGCAGCUCUAAGUGGGUGGUAAAUUCCAUCUAAAGCUAAAUAUUGGCGAGAGACCGAUAGCGAACAAGUACAGUGAUGGAAAGAUGAAAAGAACUUUGAAAAGAGAGUGAAAAAGUACGUGAAAUUGUUGAAAGGGAAGGGCUUGAGAUCAGACUUGGUAUUUUGUAUGUUACUCUCUCGGGGGUGGCCUCUACAGUUUACCGGGCCAGCAUCAGUUUGGGCGGUAGGACAAUUGCAAAGAAAUGUGGCACUGCCUCGGUAGUGUGUUAUAGUCUUUGUCGAUACUGCCAGCCUAGACUGAGGACUGCGGCUUCGGCCUAGGAUGUUGGCAUAAUGAUCUUAAGUCGCCCGUCUUGAAACACGG
rnacentral:rRNA from 1 species